GUGCGACGGCACCGGGGGGACGGUCCGGCGCUCUGAGCGCGGGAGAGACGUUCCGGGGAGAGAAGUGGCCGGGGAGAGAAGGCCUCGAGGCGUCGCCCUGGGGCUCCUUCCCCAGGGCUGCCCCGGGCUGUGGGGAGCCAUGGGACGGGCUCUGCAGAGCUCUGGGACGGGCUGUGGAGAGGAGUGUUUCCAUGUUACAGACGGAGAACACCAUGGAGUGAAUUCACCCCGUUUGGAUUUGCAAGUUAAUUGUGAUGCAACAAAGACGUUUCCACACCCCCUGAGUAACAUCCCUGAGCUCCUCAAGCAGGAAAUGGCCUCUGUCUGGGAUUGGGGAUCCUUCCAUUUCUGUGCUGAAUCUGUUGAACCAAGUCUCUGCAGCCUGAAAACCUUGUCACAGAUUGUUAAAUUAAACCCAAAUUAACAUUCCUGGGAGGAAUCCCUUCUGUACCUCUCUCUCUGGUGAUGUGUAAAACCACGGGGGAUUACGGAGCCGCAGCGAGGCACCACCACUUGUUACUUGGUGGCAGAAGUAAGUGGGACAUCUCGCAGUAAUAGAUUGAAAUCUUUUAAUGCUGCUUUGGCACGACCCAGAAGGCUCAGUGAGGGCAAGUCUUUUAUUAAUAGAACCUCUCCAAGUGCUCCUUUUCUCCCACGGAGUAGCCGGCGGAGUUAAAGAUCCUUGUUAAAAAACCACCGACGUGGUUACAAUUUAGGCAAAUGCAGUAAAAGUGAUCUCAAAUCACAUGUUAAGAAUAUGAUUCAUCAAGAUCUGCCCAAAUUAAGGCAGGAGUGGCAGGUGCAGCUGCCAGCACAGUCACCAGAUCUCAGCUCUGUCAGGCCCACGUUACUCCCUAAAACAUCUGUGCUUGGGAGGAUUGUUUUUUGGCAAGUCCUUAACAGAGAGAAAGGGAAAAUGUUGGGUUUUGCUUGGUUUGGAUCAUCUGUGGGGCAGCUUUUACCCUGUUACAGUGACUGCAUGGAGCUCUUAUGCUUUAAUGUAAGAUUAUUAACAAAAAUAUGUGUAUAGUUUGGUAGUUCAAGGUGAAUCCGAAUAGACAGAGUUUAGAUGACACAGAAGUUUUUAAAACCAAACUCCACUGAUAUUUCUGAAGGUGUCUUCAAGCAAUCUCUUGCAUGAGAAAUGUGGGGAGUGUGCUAUAUCUUGUUCCAACAUUGUAUUCACAAGGCUUUUCUAUUUUUUCAGUUGCUUUGACUAAAAUUGCAAGCUAUUAUUGGAAAAAAAUGACAUUUUUAUUAAGCCAUGUGUAAAAGUUCAGAGCACAUCUAAAGCUUGUUGAGGAGCAUAAGAAUUUCCAAAAAAAGGUGACCUGAUUUUGAAAUAAAACAUGGUGUCAGUGCAAAUCCAGAAGUUGGACUGUGUGAAGUACCUGCUCCUACUCCUAAAGCUGCCAGGACUGUGUCCUUCACGUGGCAAUUACACACUGAUUUUUUUGACUCAGUUCUUGUAUCUGACUUGCUCCAAAAAUAGAUCCUUUCUGCAGAAAUCAGCAGACUGUAUCCAACUCUUUGUAGGGGUAAAUUUGAUUUGUGGGCCAUUUUUAUUUUCAGUCACUUUUGUCUGUUCCUCUUUUUGGCAAAGGCCUGCCUUGCUCUUGGCCCUGUAUGUUCUUAUGUAAAGCUUUCCCAAAGCCUUGGUGGGGUUUGUACUGCCGGAGUUUCUUUAAUGUAAUCUUCUGGUUAAAAGCUUUUUGUUCCUACAGCCUAUGGUUAUUAUUUUUAUAUAUAUCCCAUUCACAGCCUAGGGAAAAAAAUAGUGGCAUCUAGAAGCUCAC